CCAACGGCCCUCUUUAGGGCCACAAAUCUAUGAAUUAUGCUCUACCU
rfam:Onchocerca volvulus assembly O_volvulus_Cameroon_v3 genomic scaffold, OVOC_OM3